ACGGGAGACACACGGCGGGUGCUAACGUCCGUCGUGAAGAGGGAAACAACCCAGACCGCCAGCUAAGGUCCCAAAGUCAUGGUUAAGUGGGAAACGAUGUGGGAAGGCCCAGACAGCCAGGAUGUUGGCUUAGAAGCAGCCAUCAUUUAAAGAAAGCGUAAUAGCUCACUGGUCGAGUCGGCCUGCGCGGAAGAUGUAACGGGGCUAAACCAUGCACCGAAGCUGCGGCAGCGACGCUUAUGCGUUGUUGGGUAGGGGAGCGUUCUGUAAGCCUGUGAAGGUGUACUGUGAGGUAUGCUGGAGGUAUCAGAAGUGCGAAUGCUGACAUAAGUAACGAUAAAGCGGGUGAAAAGCCCGCUCGCCGGAAGACCAAGGGUUCCUGUCCAACGUUAAUCGGGGCAGGGUGAGUCGACCCCUAAGGCGAGGCCGAAAGGCGUAGUCGAUGGGAAACAGGUUAAUAUUCCUGUACUUGGUGUUACUGCGAAGGGGGGACGGAGAAGGCUAUGUUGGCCGGGCGACGGUUGUCCCGGUUUAAGCGUGUAGGCUGGUUUUCCAGGCAAAUCCGGAAAAUCAAGGCUGAGGCGUGAUGACGAGGCACUACGGUGCUGAAGCAACAAAUGCCCUGCUUCCAGGAAAAGCCUCUAAGCAUCAGGUAACAUCAAAUCGUACCCCAAACCGACACAGGUGGUCAGGUAGAGAAUACCAAGGCGCUUGAGAGAACUCGGGUGAAGGAACUAGGCAAAAUGGUGCCGUAACUUCGGGAGAAGGCACGCUGAUAUGUAGGUGAAGUCCCUCGCGGAUGGAGCUGAAAUCAGUCGAAGAUACCAGCUGGCUGCAACUGUUUAUUAAAAACACAGCACUGUGCAAACACGAAAGUGGACGUAUACGGUGUGACGCCUGCCCGGUGCCGGAAGGUUAAUUGAUGGGGUUAGCGCAAGCGAAGCUCUUGAUCGAAGCCCCGGUAAACGGCGGCCGUAACUAUAACGGUCCUAAGGUAGCGAAAUUCCUUGUCGGGUAAGUUCCGACCUGCACGAAUGGCGUAAUGAUGGCCAGGCUGUCUCCACCCGAGACUCAGUGAAAUUGAACUCGCUGUGAAGAUGCAGUGUACCCGCGGCAAGACGGAAAGACCCCGUGAACCUUUACUAUAGCUUGACACUGAACAUUGAGCCUUGAUGUGUAGGAU
rnacentral:rRNA from 1 species